GACGUAGGGGGCGAGCGUUGUCCGGAUUUAUUGGGCGUAAAGCGUGCGUAGGCGGCUGCGCAAGUCGGUUGUGAAACCCCGGGGCUCAACCCCGGAACUGCAUCCGAUACUGCGUGGCUAGAGGUAGGUAGGGGAGAUCGGAAUUCCUGGUGUAGCGGUGAAAUGCGCAGAUAUCAGGAGGAACACCGGUGGCGAAGGCUGAUCUCUGGGCCUUACCUGACGCUCAGGCACGAAAGCUAGGGGAGCGAACAGG
rnacentral:rRNA from 1 species